rnacentral:lncRNA from 1 species
GGCUAGGGUAAUCCAUCAGAUGGAUUUGAUAUUUUGAAAUACAAUGUGGACAACCUGAUUAGAGUUGACAAUUGAACUCUGGGGUGUCCUAUGAUCAUUUUGGUCAAGGGGAUGAAUUAUAUGAAAACUAUAUCCACAUGGGUUCUAAGGAUGUUGUUCUACACAUUCGACCUAUCCGAUCGUCGGGUACCAUUGCUAGAUGGUCACUUCAAUUGGUACAAGAAUUUAUUCCUGUGCUACCAGCUUAGGUUCGGACCUAUGAGGUCAUACACAUUAGAGUUCAUGAUCCG